rnacentral:rRNA from 1 species
GACGAACGCUGGCGGCGUGCCUAAUACAUGCAAGUCGAACGAGAGCGACCGGUGCUUGCACUGGUCAAUCUAGUGGCGAACGGGUGAGUAACACGUGGGUAACCUGCCCAUCAGAGGGGGAUAACAUCCGGAAACGGAUGCUAAGACCGCAUAGGUCUUCGAGCCGCAUGGCUUGAGGAGGAAAAGAGGCGCAAGCUUCUGCUGAUGGAUGGACCCGCGGUGCAUUAGCUAGUUGGUGAGGUAACGGCUCACCAAGGCCGUGAUGCAUAGCCGACCUGAGAGGGUGAUCGGCCACAUUGGGACUGAGACACGGCCCAAACUCCUACGGGAGGCAGCAGUAGGGAAUCUUCCGCAAUGGACGCAAGUCUGACGGAGCAACGCCGCGUGAGUGAAGAAGGUUUUCGGAUCGUAAAACUCUGUUGUUAGAGAAGAACAAGUGCUAGAGUAACUGUUAGCGCCUUGACGGUAUCUAACCAGAAAGCCACGGCUAACUACGUG